rnacentral:rRNA from 1 species
UACGUAGGGGGCUAGCGUUGUCCGGAAUCAUUGGGCGUAAAGCGCGUGUAGGCGGUCCGGUAAGUCCGCUGUGAAAGUCGAGGGCUCAACCCUCGAAUGCCGGUGGAUACUGCAGGACUAGAGUCCGGAAGAGGCGAGUGGAAUUCCUGGUGUAGCGGUGAAAUGCGCAGAUAUCAGGAGGAACACCGAUGGCGAAGGCAGCUCGCUGGGACGGUACUGACGCUGAGACGCGAAAGCGUGGGGAGCAAACAGG